GUUGUGCCCUUAUGUCUGAAUUGCAGGUGUCCUGUGGUCUGAAGCCAUCUUCCUUGAGGCAAGGCCCCAGAGGAAGACCAAGAGCGUCGAUGCCCUGAAGAAGUGUGAGCAUGACCCCCAUGUCCUCCUGGCUGUGGCCAAGCUGUUCUGGAGUGAGCGGAAGAUCACCAAGGCCAGGGAGUGGUUCCACCGCACGGUCAAGAUUGACUCAGACCUGGGGGACGCCUGGGCCUUCUUCUACAAGUUUGAGCUGCAGCAUGGCACAGAGGAGCAGCGGGAGGAGGUGAGGAGGCGCUGUGAGAACGCCGAGCCCCGGCACGGGGAGCUGUGGUGUGCUGUGUCCAAGGACAUCGCCAACUGGCAGAGGAAGAUUGGGGAGAUCCUUGUGCUGGUGGCGGCCCAUAUCAAGAACACCUUCUGAUCGUCCAGUCCGUGCAGGGCGCGGCCCUUGGGGCAGCACGUGGAGGAGUGCGUGAUAGCAAGGAGCGGGGUGGAAGGGGUCCUGAGUUGUCUAGCCUGCUCUUUAAUUAAAAGUUUUCCAGGUCGUGUGUC